UCGGCCGUGGUGUAAUUGGCAACACCUCUGGUUUUGGUCCAGAUAUUCCGGGUUCGAGUCCUGGCGGCCGAGCAA
rnacentral:tRNA from 1 species